GACGAACGCUGGCGGCGUGCUUAACACAUGCAAGUCGAACGGCAAGGCCCUGCUUUUGUGGGGUGCUCGAGUGGCGAACGGGUGAGUAACACGUGAGUAACCUGCUCUUGAUUUUGGGAUAACUUCAGGAAACUGGGGCUAAUAUCGGAUAGGAGCUCCUGUUGCAUGGUGGGGGUUGGAAAGUCUCGGCGGUCGGGGAUGGACUCGCGGCUUAUCAGCUUGUUGGUGGGGUAGUGGCUUACCAAGGCUUUGACGGGUAGCCGGCCUGAGAGGGUGACCGGCCACAUUGGGACUGAGGUACGGCCCAGACUCCUACGGGAGGCAGCAGUGGGGAGUAUUGCACAAUGGGCGGAAGCCUGAGGCAGCAACGCCGCGGGCGGGAUGACGGCCUUCGGGUUGUAAACCGCUUUCGCCUGUGACGAAGCGUGAGUGACGGUAAUGGGUAAAGAAGCACCGGCUAACUACGUG
rnacentral:rRNA from 1 species